rnacentral:rRNA from 1 species
UACGUAGGGUGCGAGCGUUAAUCGGAAUUACUGGGCGUAAAGCGUGCGCAGGCGGUUUUGUAAGCCAGAUGUGAAAUCCCCGGGCUCAACCUGGGAAUGGCAUUUGGGACUGCAAGGCUGGAGUGCGGCAGAGGAGACUGGAAUUCCUGGUGUAGCAGUGAAAUGCGUAGAUAUCGGGAGGAACAUCCGUGGCGAAGGCGGCCACCUGGACCAGCACUGACACUGAGGCACGAAAGCGUGGGUAGCAAACAGG